rnacentral:rRNA from 1 species
AACGAACGCUGGCGGCAUGCCUAACACAUGCAAGUCGAACGAAGGCUUCGGCCUUAGUGGCGCACGGGUGCGUAACGCGUGGGAAUCUGCCCUUAGGUUCGGAAUAACAGCUGGAAACGGCUGCUAAUACCGGAUGAUAUCGCGAGAUCAAAGAUUUAUCGCCUGAGGAUGAGCCCGCGUUGGAUUAGGUAGUUGGUGGGGUAAAGGCCUACCAAGCCGACGAUCCAUAGCUGGUCUGAGAGGAUGAUCAGCCACACUGGGACUGAGACACGGCCCAGACUCCUACGGGAGGCAGCAGUGGGGAAUAUUGGACAAUGGGCGCAAGCCUGAUCCAGCAAUGCCGCGUGAGUGAUGAAGGCCCUAGGGUUGUAAAGCUCUUUUACCCGGGAAGAUAAUGACUGUACCGGGAGAUUAAGCCCCGGCUAACUCCGUGCCAGCAGCCGCCGUAC